AACGAACGCUGGCGGCAUGCCUAACACAUGCAAGUCGAACGAGAUCUUCGGGUCUAGUGGCACACGGGUGCGUAACGCGUGGGAAUCUGCCCUUUGGUUCGGAAUAACAGUUGGAAACGACUGCUAAUACCGGAUGAUGACGAAAGUCCAAAGAUUUAUCGCCAGAGGAUGAGCCCGCGUAGGAUUAGCUAGUUGGUGUGGUAACGGCGCACCAAGGCGACGAUCCUUAGCUGGUCUGAGAGGAUGAUCAGCCACACUGGGACUGAGACACGGCCCAGACUCCUACGGGAGGCAGCAGUGGGGAAUAUUGGAAAAUGGGCGAAAGCCUGAUCCAGCAAUGCCGCGUGAGUGAUGAAGGCCUUAGGGUUGUAAAGCUCUUUUACCCGGGAUGAUAAUGACAGUACCGGGAGAAUAAGUUCCGGCUAACUCCGUGCCAGCCGCCGCGGUAA
rnacentral:rRNA from 1 species